rnacentral:rRNA from 1 species
GACGAACGCUGGCGGCGUGCUUAACACAUGCAAGUCGAACGGAAAGGCCCUGCUUUUGUGGGGUGCUCGAGUGGCGAACGGGUGAGUAACACGUGAGUAACCUGCCCUUGACUUUGGGAUAACUUCAGGAAACUGGGGCUAAUACCGGAUAGGAGCUCCUGCUGCAUGGUGGGGGUUGGAAAGUUUCGGCGGUUGGGGAUGGACUCGCGGCUUAUCAGCUUGUUGGUGGGGUAGUGGCUUACCAAGGCUUUGACGGGAAGCCGGCCUGAGAGGGUGACCGGCCACAUUGGGACUGAGAUACGGCCCAGACUCCUACGGGAGGCAGCAGUGGGGAAUAUUGCACAAUGGGCGGAAGCCUGAUGCAGCAACGCCGCGUGCGGGAUGACGGCCUUCGGGCUGUAAACCGCUUUCGCCUGUGACGAAGCGUGAGUGACGGUAAUGGGUAAAGAAGCACCGGCUAACUACGUG